UGCAAGUCGAGCGAUGAGAUCCCUUCGGGGAAGGAUUAGCGGCGAACGGGUGAGGAACACGUGAGGAAUCUGCCUUCAACACUGGGAUAACUCCGGGAAACCGGGGCUAAUACCGGAUACGAGACCUGCAGGCAUCUGCGGGUCUGGAAAGUUUUUCGGUUGAAGAUGACCUCGCGGCCUAUCAGCUUGUUGGUGAGGUAAUGGCUCACCAAGGCGACGACGGGUAGCCGGCCUGAGAGGGCGACCGGCCACACUGGGACUGAGACACGGCCCAGACUCCUACGGGAGGCAGCAGUGGGGAAUAUUGGGCAAUGGAGGAAACUCUGACCCAGCGACGCCGCGUGCGGGAUGAAGGCCUUCGGGUUGUAAACCGCUUUCAGCAAGGAAGAAGCGAAAGUGACGGUACUUGCAGAAGAAGCACCGGCUAACUAUGUGCCAGCAGCCGCGGUAAUACAUAGGGUGCAAGCGUUGUCCGGAAUUAUUGGGCGUAAAGAGCUCGUAGGUGGUUCGUCACGUCGGAUGUGAAAAUCUGGGGCUUAACCCCAGACCUGCAUUCGAUACGGGCGAGCUAGAGUGUGGUAGGGGAGACUGGAAUUCCUGGUGUAGCGGUGGAAUGCGCAGAUAUCAGGAGGAACACCAAUGGCGAAGGCAGGUCUCUGGGCCAUUACUGACACUGAGGAGCGAAAGCGUGGGGAGCGAACAGGAUUAGAUACCCUGGUAGUCCA
rnacentral:rRNA from 1 species